rnacentral:lncRNA from 1 species
UUUUUUUUUUUUUAGGUUUUCAAUCUGUUAGCGUGAAACUUGUGUAACCCCUCUGCGUAGAGUGGUUCAGGUUGCGCUUGGUUUUGUUCUUUUAAGUUUCAUCACAUGGUGAUUACAUUAAGUUAUUUUAAGGUAUCUCUACAUGGCUUAAUUCUCAUGUGACCUUUCUAGGGCAAGUUAUGUAUAUGUAAUCCCAUUAUUUACUGAAUACAAAGCCGUACGUUAUUUUUAGCUAUCUUGGGCCAACGACCCAUUAAGCUUAUAAUAGAUGGAUCCACAAUUGAAAUAACAAAGCAGCCCAAACCCGACUGCGAUCUGCGAUCUCCGUAUCUCAGUUUCUCACUAUCAGACUGAGAUAGUAUCAGUCUCUGCCAAAUGCGAGGUCUCCGCCGUCGCCCGUCGAUUGUCGUUGACCGUCGUCAUCGUCUCCCGUCCCUGCCGCUCGCCGAGAUGGAUGGGUGUCUGCUUGAGAUCGAGGUUGGCUUCGAAGGAGGAGAAGUUCUCAUACAGCGGCGAGGUCGGCUUCAAGGGAGGCAUGACAUAUCUUGCAGAGGAGAUCGCCGAUGUGUUGAGAUUGAGAUUUAAAAGUUGAAUUGAGAUUUUUAUUUUGAGAGGAACUACCGCAACCAAAACGAGCUCCCAGCAAGAUGAGAAAAAACUUACCUUCUCCUUUGAGAAUCUCGCUGCCUCUUCUCCCGGUAUGAAUUUUUUCGUUCAAUUUUUCUCGUAUGCUUUGGGAUUUUUCAACAGUUUGUUGCGAAUGUUUUUGAUAAAAAUAUGAUUAAGGAUUGUGAAAAAUAUCUGUUACUUUAUAAUCUCAGAUGUGAAAGUUGUUGUUGUUGCUCUUGUCAGGUACAAAGAAACUGUUGGGUUCCAGAUCUGGAAGAAGCGAUGGAAAAGGCUACACGGCAUCCGAUGGUUCUAGGUUUUUUUUUUUCCUCAUCUUAUGUUUUGAGAUUUUCUGCUUAAUUCGUUCCCGUUUAGUUUAUUAAGUUGUUCCCUAUGUUAGAAUAAUAUUAGUAAUAUCAUUGUUAUAUUGUAUCUGAUAGAGAUCUGAAAUUUGUUUCUCCCUGCCGUGUGGAUCAUAGUUGAAAACUCUGCUAUUGAAUCUAACUUUUGUUUUGGUUAGUAAAUUUGAGAUUGCUUUCUCUACUAUGUGCUUUAUUGCUUUUAUUACAAUCUGGUGUUUGUGUAAUUGGCUUUUACAAACCCCUAUGCGUGGAUUUGUUGCUGGAAUUUAUGUAAAUUUUGGUAAAGCUAGAUUCAAAAGUGAUAUCCCAGGACUUAUUUAAUUGGUAUAAUGUUGCAUAAAGUCAUACAAUCAUUUAAGAUUCUGAUUUUCUUAUCUUUUAUGGGUAUCUAACAACGGAACAUAAACAAACAGGCUCCUAUCCUCCCACCCCGUUCAGAUCGGGGUUCAUAGUGCCGAAUCCUGAGGUGCACUAUAAACAAACAGCUGCCUAUAUUCGAGUGGGGGAUGAAAGUUCCAAAGAGCUAGCCAAGUUUGAAGGACCCGGAGUACCUUAGUGUGCAUGAGAGCAACACUGAGGCUGAGCUUACUAAGUAUUUCAUGGGAUCAUGUCACGGGACCACAGUUUUUUGGAUACGCCGUUCGCCAACAGAGCUACUAGUUGGUGUUGAUUCACUAGAGAGUCAAACAUAUACAGGUACAUUCAAAUUGCUUUAUGUAUAUGUAUAUGUUUAAGUGAGACUUAAUAAUGUUCACGUAUUUAUGUUUGAUUUCUAGUGGUUAAUCCAAAACAUAAGAGAAAAAAUUAUGAGCUUUCAUGAUCAAAAGUUUAUAGAGAUUGUUCCAAAUGUUUAUGUCACUCUAUGUGGAGAUGCUAGAAGAUGAAGGACUAUGUCAAUGAACAAAUGAAAGAGCAUAACAAAAAAAGUCAAAUGUCAUUUACUGUUGCUCAAGUUGGCAGGGUUUCCAUUGAGUAUUUUUAUGAGUCUCCAUUGGAUCCUGUAAAGGAGCACAUUUCUUUAGUUCACUUAUGUUUUUGGAUUCCUGAUAAACAUGUAUGUGUUUUGAUAUAGAUUUUUGUUUGUGAAUUUAAUCUAUAACCAAUUUUUGAAAUAUCUCAUAGACAUAUAUUGAGUGUUAAACCUUGGGUGAAUAUAUGUCUAUGAGGUAUUUCAAAAUUGGUUAUAGAUUAAAAUUCACAAACAAAAAUCUAUAUCAAAACACAUACAUGUUUAUCAGGAAUCCAAAAACAUAAGUGAACUAAAGAAAUGUGCUCCUUUACAGGAUCCAAUAGAGACUCAUGAAAGUACUCAAUGGCAACCCUGCCAACUUGAGCAACAGUAAAUGGCAUUUGACUUUUUUUGUUAUGCUCUUUCAUUUGUUCAUUGACAUAGUCUUUUAUUUUCUAGCAUCUCCAUAGAGUGGCAUAAACAUUUGGAACGAUCUCUAUAAACUUCUGAUUAUGAAAGCUCAUAAUUUUUUCUCUUAUAUUUUGGAUCGACCAUUGGAAAUCAAACAUAAAUACGUGAAUAUUAUUAAGUCUCACCUAAACAUAUACAUAUACACAAAGCAAUUUGAAUGUACCUGUAUAUGUUUAACUCUUUAGUGAAUCAACACAAACUAGUAGCUUUGUUGGUGAACGGCGCAUCUAAAACACGGGUGGUCCCGUGACAUGAUCCCAUGAAAUACUUAGUAAGCUCAGCCUCAGUGUUGCUCUCAUGCACAAAGGUACUCCCGGGUCCUUCAAACUUGGCCAGCUCUUUGGAACUUCUAGAUCGCUGAUCACAAAACACAGGGAGACCAAUAAUUAGAUAAAAAAUAUGUAUAUUAUAUCACUGCUAAGAGUAGAGUCAUUAUUUCAUGGACGAAAAGACGCUGAUUUUCUGGAAGGUAAAAUGACAUACCCCUUGAGACAUUUCUCCUUACACAGAUUAAUAUACUCAUCUGUAUAUUUGUUUAAUAUAUUGUCCAUGCGAUCCAACACUGGGAUGUCCUCUAUAGGCAUUAUGUCCCAAAUCUUCAAUACUUGAAUGUAUCUUAAAUUCUUUGCUAUGUCUGUUGUGCAAACAAUAUAUAGGUCUUCAACCUUAAAUUUCUUCAGGUUCAGUGAAGAGUUACCACAAAGUAUAUCUGAACUUUGCAUCACUGGCAAGCUUUAGUAGAACAUUUAGCACUGACUGACUUCAGUUUCUUGAAUGACUUCAAAAAGUCAUCGCUAAAAAGUACCUGAAGAUUUAUUAUAGAGCAGAACAUCCAAUUUCAGAAACUUUUGAUAUAUGCAAUCAGGUUCUUAGAAAAUUAGGGUCGAUCAAGAAGUAACAAAAAUCAAUAUCUUCAAUUACCUUCCAUCUAGCUCUUCUUGAAAGUACACUGUCAGAAUUUAGCAAAUCAUCUAGUUGGUCGAACUGUUUCUUCAGUUGUAGUAUGGCCUUUUGGCUAAAUCCUCGUCUUCAUCAGCAUUAAAAAAGCAUUGGCGAUUUUUGGCAUCAAGAACCAAGGCCUCCCAAACAGACUCGCUGUCACAGAGUUUUUUCACUCCUCAAAAUCCACAGGCAGUGCCUGAAAACCUCAGAGAAUCAGUAGUUAUUUCCAUCAAGCUAUUACACCGGCUUAUGUAAAACAUACCUUGCCCUUUGUAAGAGCAACAUUAAUUAUCCGCGGUUUUGAAAUAUACUCAAGUGACUGUUGACAAUUGGAUCGUACAGUGGAAAAUAUAAUGAUGUCCUCUUCCCAACCCUGGAACCCGUCAACUGUCUUCACUUUCACUAUGAAUCCAUGAUCCAUCAAGAUUAUUAUAUUUCCGUCCAAGUUUGUCCUCGAUUGCCUCUACUUGAGCAGCAUAUGGAGAAAUUACACCAUUACUCUGAUUCUGUUUUGAAUCAACCCGUUCUGUUUACAAAGAGAAAACGGAAAGCGAUCAAUUGUCAUUAUGAGAAGAUAAAGGUGAUAGAAUUUCUACAGUUAUGUGCUCGUUUGAGAAAAUGAUUAGAGGAAUUAUACUGCCACAUGCUUAAUGGGUCAAAAUCUGCAUUUCUACUAAAGGAUUAUGAUAGAUAAAUAAAUAAACCAUAUACCAUGAUCAUGCAUCAGAAGAAGAAAAAGGAAAAAAAAAAAAAAACUAAUUCAGUCUUGUAAACUAUAUAUAUUGACCACCUAAAAUGGUACCAGUCCCACCAUAAACCAUCUGCAUUUCUAUUGCAAUGGCUUGUGUUUCGAUUACGAUUACACCAGAGAACAGACCUACAAUGAGAAAGGUUUUGAGCAUGAUAAGGGAUUCGAGGGCAGAUGCCAUAGUGUCUUCGAACAGCAGCAGUGAUCAUUCUCCGGGGAAAUGGUCAGAUACUGUUCAGAGCUUUUCCUAGGGAAGAACACCUGAGCAUUUGAUUCAGCCAGCUAGCUGUGCAUAACAAUAGAAGUGAACGCGGUAGACUAACAUGUAGGUUAUUCCAGGGUCCGGUAUUGUCUCGAGAACAUUUGAAAUGUAGUCGGGCAUGGGAGUGGUUAUUUCUGAUUAUGUGUGGGAGUGCCUUAUGUGUGGGAAUGCCAUCGGAGAAAAGAGGGAGGUGUUUCUUGUCAGGCAGUUGCAUCAAGCUUUGGUUGAAACCUAUCAUGCAAACUGGAGGAAGUUUUUGACUACAUUGGACCUAAUUGUUUCUCGUAUCUUAUUGAACACCUUCGGAUGUUGGUAUACUACUUCCAAGGUAAUGUUGUCACUACCAAAUCAAGUUUCAUUGAAUGGUUGAUGCAGAACAGAGGUAUUAACAAAUCCUUGAAUUUUGGGAUGUGAUUUGAUGUGCGAGGGAACAUAUAUAUCACCGAACAACUACCAACAGAUUAUAGUCCCAACUGAGGCUAAAAAAAAUAAAAAAAAACAAAACAAAACAAAUCCACAACAUCGAGCGGGGUUAGCAACUUAUAGCACCAAAGCAAUUCCAUAGAAAAACAAACAAACAAAUCCUACAGAAGAUAGUAAAUAGCAAAUUUCAGAUACUGUUAGAGGUGCCUUUAAUUACAGUGGCAUUAACCUUACAUUAACCAAAUCCUCUCUGGUGCAACCGGUCUAUUUUCCAGAAAAGCAAACAAAAACUAAUCGGAAGCUUAUUCCGUAAACACAGUAAACUUGCCAUCUUUCAUGCAUGUGUCCACAAACACAGGAGUUGAAACAGUUCCUCAUGGUGCUCUUAGAGAACAGACCACAUCAUAUGGAAUCAUGUUUGCCCUGACAAAGAUAAUGGGUCUCUAAUUGAUUUAGACUCGGCAGCAAGAACCUUGUCCUUGGGGCAUUCAUGGGUGCUGUGCUGUUUCCAGCUACUAUCACAAAUGGAACAAUACUUACGCUUCAGCAGUGCUCUUCUCCCAGUACAAUAGGUACAAACCCACUUUUCCUCAUUAAAUUCAUUACCACAGCAACAAAAUAUUUCAUAGUUGUCACGGUCAAAAGCUGCACCCUGUGGGAUAAGGCGAAAGUAAGGGCAAUAAAAGGUAUGGUGAAGAUACUGAUAACAAACUUCACAAGGCACGCUAGGGCAAUAAUUAGGGUAGUGACGGUCGUGACAAAUAUUACAAAGCACGUAAGGGCAAGAAGGACAAGGAGGGUGCUCCUUAGAACACUCAUUGCAAGGCACACAUGGUCUUUUGUGUUUAUAAGCACCUUCGCCCGACACUGGUCCUCUGAUCACAGACCCCAAGACAUCAGGAAUAUCGGUUGCUGUUUGUUUGCAGUUCAUCACCUUAGAACCCUCAUCCUCAUUAAUGCGAGACAAUGCGAACUGGGACAUGUCUCUGUAAAAAUCAUCUUCACCCCCCAUUGGAACAUAGGCGGCUUUUUGUUCGCGGUUCACCUUAGAAUCCUCAUUGUAAGGCCCCAUGAACUCUGACCUGAAUGGGACGGGGGUAUAGGAACCUGUUUGUUUCAGUUCCAUUGUUAGAUACCCAUAAAAGAUAAGAAAAUAAGAAUCUUAAAUGGUUGUAUAACUUUAUGCAACAAUAUAAGUACUGGUAUGUGUGUGUGUCCCUAUUAUAUAUCUGUCUUAUCAGUCAUGACUCAUGAGUACGUCUAGCUUUGCUAAACGUACAUUACAUAAAUUCCCGGAACAAAGUCGAGCAUAGGGGUUUGUAAAAGCCAAUUACACACGUACGUACACCAGGUUGUAAUAGGAGCCAGAAAGAACAUAGUAGAGAAAGCAAUCUCAACAUUAUAACUACUAUGAUCCACAUAUGCAGCAGGGAGAAACAAAUUAACAAGACAAAUUUCAGAUCUCUCUCAAAUACAAUAUAGCGGGAUAAAAUCACAGUUACUAAUAGUAUUCUAACACAAGGAACAACUUAACAAACUAAACGGGAACGACUUAAGCAGAAAAAACCUCAAAAGAUAAGAUAAGAAAAAAACCUGAACCAUCGGAUGCUGUGUAGCCUUUUCCAUCGCUGCAUUCAGAACUGGAACUGAACGGUUUCUUUGUAUCUGACAAGAUCUAAAUUCCGGAUUAGCAACAACAAUUUUCAGAUUGAAUUCGAAAGUAACACAUACUUUCACAAUCAUUAAUCAUAUUUUCAUCAAAAACCACGAAAUAGGGUUCCCUUGAGCAGAGACAGUUUUUAACAAACUGUUAUUUGAAAACAAACGGGUAAGAAGCAAACGAACCCUAAAAAAAGAAGAAGAUAGAGUAUAACUUGUUUCAGAUCACAGCAAAAUUAUACGAAAAGAGUUCAUACCAGGAGAAGAGGCGUCGAGAGUCUCAAAGGAGAGGGCUAACUUUUUUACAUCUCCCUGAGAGCUCGCGUCGGAUGCAGCCAUACUUUCUAGGGUUUCGAUUCAAUUAGAGCGCCAAAGAACAAUGCUAAUGCCUAAAGGGUUUCUUACGCCUUUUGUUUCCAAGAUCGCAGUGGGCCGGGUCAAGUCGCACGGUUUGGGCCGGGUUCUUCAAUUUCCGAAUACCAAUAUGUUCCCCCGCCCUGAAAUGUCCAAGUGUCUAACUGUUAUUGGCUCACAAGAUUUACACGCAUGGCAGAAAUCCACUGGGAUAAGGUAUAUAUAGACACACAUGACUUUGAGUUCUUCCUCUGUUCAUUCAAACCUUAUCUCUCCAAUGGCCAUCUCCAGUUCUUCUCCAAGUUCUGGAGACUGGUCAUCUUUGCCUUCUUUCAUAUCUUGCAGAAAAUCCCACAAAACACACAACCUCCAUUCCUUCUUUUCCAUUCCCAGAUGGACCAAUCUUCGAGCUAAUUUCCAAGUCAUCAACUCCUCUAGCUGCCCUUCUCCAAUUCUCGAAGAUCAAUCAUCGACCAACUUGUCACUCAUAGACCUGAAACUUCAACAACAUCAGACCCCGGAUGCCGGAAAGUUGAAUGAAUUCCUAUGUGAGCUGUUUCAAGAUCCAGAGAAGGAAGCAAUGGGGUAUGAACAGUAUGAGAAGGCCAAGAAGGUCGCAGAAUUCAGACCAAACAAGUCAACAUUGGAGCAUGUAACGAGGUAUUUGGUACGAUCCAAGAAAUGGGAUUCAAUUCUUUCGGUUUGUACUGAUUUCAAGACUUAUGAUUUGCUGCCUGAUAGAUAUACAUGUUCUAGAUUGGUUACUAGCUGCAUUAGAGCUAGGAAGUUCAAGGUUGUUAGGACUUUGCUUCAAGUGUUUAAGUCUGACGGCGAUGUUGCUCUGCCGGCCUUGGAUUCCGCAAUGAGAGGCUACAAUGAGCUUCAUAUGUAUAGAAGUACAAUGUCUGUGUUUGAAGAAAUGAUAUCUGCUGGAAUUGGACCGGAUUCCGGGUGUUAUUGUAGGAUAAUGGAAGCUUAUUUCAGAAAAGGUGACCAUAAAAAAGUUGUUGAGUUAUUUCAGGAUUUGAAAAGUAGGCAAUUAGAUUUGACACCAUUGUCAAUUCAGAUUCUAUGCCAAUCUUUAGCCAAAUUGGGGAAGCCUCUAGAAGCUCUAGAGAUUUUUCGAAGUGUGACAAAGGAAGGCGUUUCUUUAGACUCUUCAAAGAUAUAUUCUGUUUUGAUUAGUUCAUUUGCGAGCAUUCGAGAUGUGAAGGUGGCUGAAGAGCUAUUCAAAGAAGCAGAAACCAAGAAAAUGUUGAGGGAUCCGACGGUGUUUUUGAGACUGAUCACAAUGUAUGUUGAAGAAGGGUUGCUGGAUAUGACUCUUGAAGUAGUUAAGGCAAUGAAGGGUGCAAAUAUCAGAGUUUCGGAUAACAUAUGUUGCGCAGUUGUGAGUGGCUUCUCCCGGAAAAGCACGCUUCUGAAUGCAGUUAAAGUGUUUGAAGAUUUGAUCUUAAUGGGAUGUGAACCCGGGCAGGUAACAUACGCUUCAGUAAUCAAUGUGUAUUGUCGUCUUGGGCUUUAUUCUAAGGCUGAGAUGGUAUUUAGGGAGAUGGAAGAAAAAGGAUUUGAUAAAUGUGUGGUGGCGUAUUCAAGCAUGGUUGUUAUGUAUGGGAAGACAGGAAGGCCAAGAGAGGCAAUGAGGCUUGUCGCCAAGAUGAAAGAAAGAGGGUGUAAGCCAAAUGUGUGGAUCUACAAUUCUUUGAUGGAUAUGUAUGGAAGGGAUAAUAAUACGAGGCACGUUGCAAAGCUAUGGAGCGAAAUGAAGAGAAGGAAGGUUGCACCAGAUAAGGUGAGUUACACUACUGUUAUAGGUGCUUAUAACAAGGCAGGGGACUUUGAAAUGUGCCUGAGGUUUUACAAUGAGUAUAGGAUUCAUGGUGGUGUUUUGGAUAAGACCAUGGCUGCAAUGAUGGUUGGGGUUUUCUCCAAGAGUGGUCGAGUUGACGAGUUAGUGAAGCUUCUGCGAGAUAUGAAAGCAGAAGGAACAGGACUAGACGUGAGGCUUUAUCGGUCUGCCUUGAAUGCUUUGGCAGAUUCUGGUCUGGAAAUGCAGGUGAAAUGGUUGCAAAGUAGCUUUGAGGUGACAUAGAAAUAGAGGGCUUGAUUGUAUAGUGUACAAAAUCCCAGUGCUUGGCGAAGGCACUCGUUCAAGUAUGUUCUCUACUAUUAGAACCUCGGGAGUUCUUUGUAUUGGAAAUUGAAAUUGCAUAUAGAAAAAUUUGUUAUACUCCCAUCAUUUUCAUGUAGGUAACUGAUAUUUGAAUGUGGAAUAUACACUUAAAAGUACAAUUUUAUCGUCUUCAAUAACUUUAAAUUUCUUUAGAAGAUCCGGGAAGAACUUAUUUUCAUAUCCAUGGAAUUUAUUUUAUAAACUACAAACAUAUAAAGCACCGUAUAAGUUUUACAAUUGAAUGAAUCAAUGGAACAAGACAUUGCUCUUUUUCGUUGCUUUGCUGCUGACACUCUGGCGUAUGAAGGCUCAGAUUUCAGUUGAGAGCACUACAAAUCCUUCUUAUCUGCCCAUUUGAGCCAGUGAGAGGGUUAAUGUCUCCCAUCUUGAUCAUGGCAGCCGCAAAAUCAGCCUUGAAGUUUGCAGGUUUGGAGCUAUACUCCGAGACAAUGCUGUCUGUGGAUCCUCCACUAAAGAGAACUUGAUCGGAUGCAAGAAGACCCUUCUUCUGGAUCAAGUUCUUGAAGUAGUUGUUGUCCAGUUGAUUUGGUGUCACCAAAUCAAGUGCUGCCAAAUUUGCAUCACCAUCAUUAGCUGCUGCGGGACAAGUACGUCCGCGAGUACGAGCAAAGUUAGCAUCAAUGUCACUGGUGUUGCUGUAGAUUCUUCCGCGGAAUGUGAAGCACUGAGCUUGUCCGAUGGAAUGUGCACCUGAGAGCGCAACCAAGUCUCUGGCAUUGAGGCCUAAACCAGCAAACCUGUUAGUAAGGCUUUCAAGGCUGUCUAAGAAACUGGGAAGCGAGCUUCCAGCUAGGCUUUUGCUUGCUGUGGUCGAAUCCCUUCUUCCAAGCUUCACCGACCAGUCUGGACCUCCAACCUAUAUGUAUACAUAUUAUCAGUUCCAACAAGUAGAACAAGGGAAGCUAGAAGUUGGUGAACAAAAAAAUGAAUGAAUCAAGUACUCACAGCAACUGAAGCAUCCCUAGCAGCCACAGCGACGAUAUCUGCACAAGAAACUACACCAGGACAUAGUUUCUCCACUUCAGAUUUGGCAUUAUCUAUGACUCCAUAUCCUCUCACAGAGUUCAGAUUAGGCGGUGCGGUCUUUUCGCCUGUGAUGGAAGAAGUAUCGUCAAGUAAGAUUGACGCAUCACAACCCUGAAAACACAUGAGUACUGCACCGUAAGUUAUAGCUCAAAACGAAAGGCAUCAUUUAGUUGGUUAUAUUUAUAGGUUAAUUAGUACCUGAACAAAGCAGUCAUGGAAAUGCAGGCGGAUUAGGGAGGCUGCCAUCCGACGUUCAGCUGAGACUGCUGAUCGUAUGGAUUUUCUGAUCGUAGCGAGAGCGUUUGGACAUGCGUUGUCAUAAAAUGUUGAGGAGGAGAGCUGAGCUGAGCUUGUUGUGCUCAUCAGGGCAAGCAACAGCAGCAGUGCAAUAGAGGCAACAUUUACAUUUGAACUAAAAGACUUCAUCAUUGAACUUGAAAGUAAAAACUCCCCUACUCAAUACCAAAACCAAUUUACGUUUUGGAUGUGUAAAAACUUGUACUCGAAGCAACUAAUUUAAAACCCUAUGAAUUGCGAAUGAAGUUGAGGAAAUGAGAAGGAUUGAAGGUGAUGAAGAUUAAGGUUAUAUCUCGCAUGUAUUUAUAGGGCAAUUUUGAGUAAAGUAGACCUUAAGGUUUGCCCUGGUCACUAUUUACUGCUAACGCGUGCCCCUUUCAACAAUACCACUGUUCAAUUCUGAAAAUGACCCAUUCUGAUUUGGUAGGCAAAAAAGUCACCGUUUUUUACAUGCGUUAUCCUUUGACAAAUCUUAUCUGGAUCAAGUAAUAUGCUCUCAAACUGAUUAUGAAAGGUAAUCAUAUGCAAAUAAUAGAACUAGACCUCGCUAGUCAUUGUCUUACUGUAAUCAAAGUCUCUAAUUGUGAUUAAAGGUCAUAUAAACAGCUAAUCUGUUAUGCAUGCAUUUCUUUUCUUUUUUUUGGUCGUGUUAUGCAUGCAUUUGGGUAUCAUAUAUGUAAAGUCAGAAUAAAGAUUCUUGGCCUAUAUGGGUUGAACAUAGCAGGCCAUGCUUUGUUCUUGUUCAUAGUAUUUUUCACCAGUAUAAUAAUCCGAAAACGAAGAAUUAAACCACAAAAGGCCAGAGCUAGCGCAUAAUUCAACUCAUACAUAUUUGAAUCCCUCAACUCAUUUGACUAAUGCUCAAGCAUCCACCAAACUCAGCUUUAGCUGUAACUCAUAAUCUUGCUUAGAAGCUCUGAAGAUGUCAACAUGUUCUGCAAUCAUAUUUUACUAGUUCUUCUUAUUAUGUAUAUUAGCUGACUUUCUGAAAGUUACACAAAUGAUGACUUGGUACUUGCAUAGAAUUGUCUCUUCAAUACUCGUUCGCAUCACCAAAGCUAUAGUAAUCGGAGAAAUAAAUGCGGAACAGAAAUAGUCGUAGAGCAAUUACAACUCGAAUCGAAACAUAGCCAAUACUGAAGGUGAGCAAUUUCAUUCUUUCUUCACAUCAACACCAUCCACCGGCGGCAAUGACUGUACACACAAAGCAAACACAGAACCCAUCAUUUUUUUUAUACGAACCAAUUUCAUCAAACAUUUUUGUAAAGUCGAGUGAGGCAUUUCGUCGAACAGGUUACGUGCACUAAUUCAUAAUGAAAUUUUUUUGGAAGUAGAGGUAGUGAGAAAGAGAAGAGAGAUAGUAAGUGAGAUUACGAGAUCGGGUUUGUAGAGAUUGUGGACGACGGAGGCUCCGGCGAGAAGCGAAGCGACGACGACGACGCUGGACCAAGCCAGCGAGGGAGUGCCGGUCGGCAGUUUCCCUCCCCCGAACUUCUUAUUCAUAGGUGAAAUUUGAAAAGAGCUCAGUGACGUGCAACUAGAUAGUUUUCUUCGCCGGAACUUUGGUCGGAAAGAGUUGGUAUUCGCCGGACUGUUUUCUUUUCUGGUUAGACGAAGUGGUUAUUACAGUAUUACUUAUUGGGGAAGGCGACUUCAACGACGUCCUUUCGGGUCGAAUGUUGUUAAUGGGUUUCAAAGGGGAUCCGCCCGCCAGGGCAAAGUUAUCUUUGUUCUUGGGCUUGAUCUAAAAAUUAGUUUCAAGAAUCCUAUUAUGAUGCGAAAAUUUUACGACUUGAAAUGCAAGAAACAUAAGCGUUUAAGCUAACAAUGUAUUGCCUCGUAGUUUAAUAUAUUUGAUGUGAUUUAUAUGCUAAUUUUGUUGUAUACGGGACUCUUACUAUGAUUUGAAACACGUUUAGUAUCCAUAUUCGUGAUUAUUUGUUUAGAUGAAAUUGUUUUGGCCACGAUCCUCAGCGGGGAUACAGAGAUAACUUAGUAGUACCAAAAGUAAACAACGGGCGCAGGGUGUGCCACCGCGCGGACGCGGAAUGAGAACAGCGUGUGCUUGGCUUCUAAUCAAGCGAAAAUAGGGCUCCGGUGCCACCUCGCAGACGAGAGAUUACGAGUAAGCCUUUAUUCACCUGUGAAUCGAUACUCACUGUUAGAGCGAGCAGAGCAACUAAUCAAGAAGAAAAUGCGAGUCUGAACGGGCUCUGUAAACCAGAGCUAGAGAUGCUUUAGCACUUAGGGUUUUGAGGAGGCUCGAAGAUUUGUUUGUAGUUUAUAUGAUUUGAUUGUGUGUGUUGAAUAACCCUCGAGCCCCCUUUAUAUAGUGACUCGCGACUAGCUGAUAGAGAUGCAAUCACAAACCAAUUUAGACUCAACAAUUAGAAUGCCACAAGAACACGCCUUACUCGCGAAUUGCCUUAUCCAGACGACACGUGUCCAGUCGCACAACAGACUCCGCCUAGAUCACAAGCACUGCCUUCACGCUAUCCAACUGUAGUCCCCCAUGCGAACUCAAAUAAUGAGCAACCUUAUCUCGCGAGGUGCCACAAUCCUUGUCAAAAUCUAUCUCGCGCGCCUCCGAAGCUCGCGACUCUUAACGGCCUUUAUAUUAAAAAAAUAUCCCAGGUAUUGGCUCAAAUACUAUCCAAAAACUAUUACGUGGUCUUGGACCAAAAUAUCCACUCGGCUCAAACAGAAAUUUCUAAAUCAAAUGGUAUCUAAGAUGAGAAAGCUGCAAUAUAAAUGUACGGCAUUAUAAUCAUAUACAAAUCCAAGUUACAUAUAUCCAGAUGAUCUCCAAAUUGGAUGAAACUUUACAGGAAUGAUCUACACACUAUAUUCUAGACACAGAACAGUGGAGAUAUGAAAAUGUGACUUAAAAAUGAGCGAAAUGAGAAACACCACACUUUAAUUUUAAAAUUGUGUCCCUCUCGGGAAGAAAACUGUAUAGAUCAAUAAAUCAUCAUACUUAAAACACGACAUCACCUUCAUAUAUAUUCGAACAUUUGCCAAGUUUGAUUAAUCCGAUCCCUUGUAUAGAGGUGUACGUACGUGCUUAAAGCUAGCUGGGUAUAGUCAUGACAGGUCACAAGUACAUACUGUGGUGAGUCACUUUCCCGAGUUUGCUCAACCAUGGAAUGAGCAGCAGCAUGGGUUUCUCAGUCUCACACACAUGGGAUAUCUGCAUUUUACAGGUACUCUCUACUCACAUUUAUGAAGGAUCGAUAGAAUUCGAGAUGACAAUACUUUAAUAUCCAAGAAAGUGACAAGACUUGUACCUUGCCGAGAACAUGAUUAUAAACAACUAAUGAGAACAUGAUGAUGAACUUAAAGCAUUACAGAAUCGUGUGGGAAAGAGUUGGAAUUGUCGGCCGGAUUGUUUUCUCUGGUCUCCGGCAAAGACGAAGUGUUAUUGGGGAAGUUGAUUUGUGUUCUUAAUGGGUUUCAUAUUUGGAAUCAAGCCCGCCUAGGGAAAUCUAUCUUCCUUUGUUAUGGUGCUUGAUCAGGAUUUCUUUACAGUGCAUCUGGUUAUGAUUUGAAAGCACAUAGAGCAUCAUUACUGGUAAUUAUUUCUUCAGAUUGCUAAAGGAAGGAUGCAUACUCAAAACGCCUGCUAAAAAGAAAGAACCGAAGUGCGGCAUUACAAUCCUACACAAAUCCAAGCUACAUAGAUCACCCAACCUUAAAACACAGCAAGUAGACACAAACAUCAUUUAUUCUAAACACGUAGGUACGCUACAAUUAUAUGCAUCCUUCUUGCAUUGCUAAUUACUCAUUAACAGUGUUUGGUGCAGAAGCAUCUGCGGCGAAGACCGCGGCAGUCGCCUCCACUGAAGCCCUCAGUUUUGCAAACAGAUGCACAGUUGGUCUCACUCAAGCAAGUUCCCUUGAACUUGUGGCUCAGACUCUCACAAGUUCUUGCUUCUGCGACCAUUGUAUUUGGCCCCAUUCCUACAUACAGUUUAAACACACACAUUAGUAUUCAUACAUAAAGUUCAUUUACAUCUAGAGAUCAAAACAGUCAGUAAAUAUCAGAAGAAUGUAGAUAUUGAUUAUACCAGUAGCCACCAGAAGCAGAAGAGCGACGAAGACAGCCGAAAACAUACGCAUGAAACUCUCCAUUAUCUUCUUGUUCUUAAUAGCUCUUAACUGUGUAUAGGUGUGUUGAGGAUGAGAUGAGAUUACAAUGCAAGCUUACUAGCCUUUAUAUAGAAGCUGUCCACUAAUUAAGCUAGCUGAGUCAUCCGAAAGAUCGAGAAAGCCAUAAUGGUAAAAAGGAGGGAGGAGCUGGGGACGAGUCAUGAAUGGCGAGUAGGGUAUGGUCUGCACUAACAUCACUGCUUUUUCUGCUUUUUUUGAUUCUAGCGAACCACACGUUUGUGAAUUGUGUCAAUUCAAGCUCCAUUGAGUUGGCAAACCUGCAAUGAAUUACUGAAUACUGACUCAUUCUGCAAAGUUAGCUCAAUCAUGCAUGAAUGGGUAACAUGGUCUUCUCAAACUAGCUAGGGAUAUCACCGUCAACCAAUGUUGUACAUAUGUGAAGGAUAGAAUUCCAGAUAACAAUAGUUUAUGGUAAAGAAAGUCAUGAACUCAUGAUACACGUAGCUAAUGAUAAUGAAAUAUGUUUAGAAACCUAAAGGUGUACUCAACUACAUAAUAAGAACAGGGUAGAGGCUGCUUAUAGCAUUACAGAAUCAUAGGUGGUGCAGAAAAUGGAAAAGGAAUUUAGCCCAACAAUGGAAAUCUACCUUUUAGAAAAGAAAGAUAACACAGAUAUUGAAAGUGAGGAUCAUGAAUUUGACUUGUGUCUACCGACAUUGAAGAUUUUAACCUUACACGUACAGUAGCCAUAGUCACCCUAUUUCUUUCUGAAAGCAAAGCAUCUUAGCCAAAUACAACUUUCCUAUUUUUCUCUUUUCUUUGUUACAAAAUUUCUACCAUUCUAAUGGAUAUAAUAUACUGUUUAUUAUCAGCAAAGAACUGAUGGAAAACUGAGAAGUAAGAACCAACCCAAAAUUAAUCUUGACAACAAGACUACAAGAGAAGAAAUAGAACAAUUAAAUUUCUGAUAUAUAAUAGCUAGUAUGCUUCUACAUCAGAGAAAACCAAACAUAUGAAGAGAAAUAUAAUUUUCUUGAUUGAAGUAGAUGAUUGAUGACAAAGGAGAAUACAUGUUUAAACUACUACAGUACUACAAUCAGAGAUGCUAGCUAGCUAGACUAGGAUUUUGUCUUCAUCUAUUUGCUCUAGGUUUGUCUUGGCUUGUAGCAUAAGGAUGGACCUUGUGAGCAGAGCACGGUGGCAUUUGCAUGCAUACUAUUGUGUUUCAGAUAUGGACUGCUAUUUUUUUUUUUUUUUCCGAUUAAUGGUAUGCUGCUGGUGUAUUGCAAUCCUAUAUGCUUAUCAGUAAUAUAUAUAGUCGAAAAAGAUUCUAUAUAAAACAUGCAUACAAGGUAAACUAAAGGCUUAUUUGGUACAUUUUUCCCUAUCAGCUUGGGUUCCCCCAAACUUCUUCCUUAGAGAUUCUACUUCUUCAUCUUUCAACGUCGUAAAUAAUGUUUUGGGUUCCCCAAUCUUGUGACCAUCAGCUACAAUCUCCCAAGGCCGUUUUGAUUUAUUGACAUCACAAAGGGAUUUGAUUGACUCAUGAGGCAAGUUCAGCUGCUCAAGUACCCUAGCAGAAAUGGAAGGCAUGUACGGUUCCAAUAAGAAAUCAAGAAGAUGCACUAACCCUACUGAAGUUUUGAUGACAAUAGAGCACCGAGGCCGGUCCUCCUUGUAGAGCUUCCAGAACUGGGAUCCUUGGAGAUAUGCAUUCCCCUCGCUAGAAAUACUCAUUGCUAAUUUAAGCCCUUGCUUUAGUUUGAGCUUCUCCAUUGCUUCCAUGUAUUGCUCUACAUGUCUGCCGACUUUUUCUGCUAACUCAACUGUCAAAGCAUCAGAGUCUGCACCUGCAGCCUCAGGAAUUAUGCCACCAUAUCCUCCUGAAGGUUUAGCAAUGAAACUCAAAACUCUGUUGAUGAAGUCGCCUAAAUUACCAACCAACUCACUUUUGAGUUUUGUUUGUAAAUCGGACCAAGCAAACUCAGUGUCGGAUCCCUCAGGCCUAUUAGUCAGCAAGUAAUAGAGCCACACUUCAACUGGAAUGCCUGUGAGUUUUGCAUCGUUUCCGAAAACUCCAAUGCCUCUACUCUUAGAAAACUUGCCUUUUUCAUAGUUUAAGUACUCAGUUACACUGAUAUUGUUCAUGAGUGUCCAAUUUUCUCCGGUUCCAAGAAGCGCUGAGGGGAACAUGAUUGUGUGAAAUGGCACAUUGUCCUUCCCCAUGAACUGACACAAUUCGACAUUCUCGGGAUUCUUCCACCACUUCUCAUACUGAUCAGGAGUGUAGCACUUAGUAAUGGAGAUGUAUCCAAUAGGUGCAUCGAACCACACGUAAAAUACCUUGUCUCUGAAGCCAUCGUGUGGAACUGGAACACCCCACUUGAGAUCCCUUGUAAUGCAACGUUGUUUAAGCCCCUCGUUGAGCCAUGCUUUUGUGAUAUGAACCGCAUUCUGGCUCCAACACCCUUUCUCUGAUGCUACAUUGAUGUACUCUUUCAACCUAUCCUUGAGCAAAGGGAGGUCCAGAAACAAGUGACUUGUUUCGCAAAUCCGCGGAGCUUCCUUGCAAACCUUGCAUUUAGGAUCUUCUAAUUCGAUCGGAUUCAAGAGCUAUCCACACUUGUCACACUGGUCUCCUGGGGCAGAAUCAUAGUGACAUCUAGGACAUGUCCCCUCCACGAACCGGUCCGCUAAGAACCUGUUACACUUGUCACAAUGGAGCUGCUGGAUUGAGUUUUCGGCAAGGCAGUCAUUGUGCAACAGUUUCUUGAAAAUGUCUUGGCAGACCUCAGUUUGCUGUGGCGUGGAAGUUCGUCCGAAAUGGUCAAAGCUUAUGUUAAACCACUCAUACACCUCCCUAUGGAUUUUGUGGUACUUGUCACAUAUCUGUUGGGGGCUGCACUUCUCUUCCAAGGCUUUGGUCUCCGUAGCCGUGCCGUACUCGUCGGUACCGGAGAUAUAGAGGGUAUUGUAUCCCCGGAGACGGCAGUACCGAGCAAAGACAUCGGCGCGCUCAAGAUGCAGCCGAUGAUGUUGCCGAGGUGGGGGACGUUGUUAACAUAUGGCAAGGCACUGGUGAUGAGGACGUUUCGCUCUCCUGGUAUUGGGAGCUUGGGGACUUUCUGGUCCUGCUUGGUUAGAUUUUCCAUUGUCAACUUUUAUAGCCAUUAAGUUGACCAAUUUACCCUUAAUUUCUCUUUUUUUUUUAGUUUUUUUAUAUUUGUUUUCAUAUUCCAAAAAUAUUAGAAGAGGUUUUAGAAUUUGAUAAUUCGGGUUGAUCUUUGUAAACUUGAAGAAGAUUGAAGAGAAACAUCCAGAAGUUUAAUCUUUGUUGUUUAUGCUGACACUCAAUCUUUGUUGAUCUUUAUAAACUUGAAGAGAAACAUACAAAAGUUCAAUAUUUGUUGUUUAUGCUGACACUCAAGGAUCUUGUUGUUGCCGUUGACAAUGAAGGAUAAUUGAGAUGAAAAAUUGAUUAUUAACAAGGAGAAAGUGACGAUGAAUUUUUUUUCUACGUUCCUAAAAAUAUAAAAAAACCAAAAAAGAAAAUUGGAAUAUGAAAACAAAGAAAAGAAUUUAAGGGUAUAUUGGUCAUCUUUUUUUGGUUUGAGGGUAAAUUAGUCAUCUUAAUAGCUAUAUAUACUAAUCUUAGGUCGGGAUGGAAACAUGAAAUACCAAUCUAAUAUUUUUAAAACUUGGUAUACCAAAGUUUAUAAGGAGCAAAAGUUUGUAUAUCAUUCAGACGAAUUUCUCUUACAGAAAUGAUCUAUACACUAUAUUCUAGAUACAGAACGGUGGAGAUGUGAAAAUGUUAUCUAAAAGUGAGCGAAAUGAGAAGCACUACAUUUUAAUUUGAAAGUGGUAUCUCUCUCUGGAAGAAAACUGUAUAGAUCAAUAAAUCAUCAUACUAAAAACACAACAUCACCUUCAUAUUCGAAUAUUUGCCAAGUUUGGUUAAUCCGAUCCCUCGUAUAUAGGUGUAUGUACGUGCUUAAAGCUAGCUGGGUAUAGUCAUAACAGGUCACAAGUACAUACUGUGGUGAGUCACUUUCCCGAGUUUGCUCAAUCAUGGAAUGAGCAGCAGCAUGGGCUCCUCAGUCUCACACACAUGGGAUAUCUACAUUUUACAGGUACCUCUCUACUCACAUUUAUGAAGGAUCCAUAGAAUUCGAGAUGACAAUACUUUAAUAUCCAAGAAAGUGACAAGACUUGUACCUAGCCGAGAACAUGGUUAUAAACCUAAAUGUACUCAAACACCUAAUGAGAACAUGAUUAUGAACUUAAAGCAUUACAGAAUCGUAUGGGAAAGAGUUGGAAUUGUCGGCCGGAUUGUUUUCUCUGGUCUCCGGCAAAGACGAAGUGUUAUUGGGGAAGUUGAUUUGUGUUCUUAAUGGGUUUCAUAUUUGGAAUCAAGCCCGCGUAGGGAAAUCUAUCCUCCUUUGUUAUGGUGCUUGAUCAGGAUUUCUCUUACAAUUUUUUUACAGUGCAUCUGGUUAUGAUCUGAAAGCACAUAGAGCAUCAUUGCUGGUAAUUACUUCUUCAGAUUGCUAAAGGAAGGAUGCAUACUCAAAACGUCUGCUAAAAAGAAAGAACCAAAGUGCGGCAUUACAAUCCUACACAAAUCCAAGCUACAUAGAUCACCCAAACUUAAAACACAGCAAGUAGACACAAAAAUCAUUUAUUCUAAACACGUAGGUACGCUACAAUUAUAUGCAUCCUUCUUGCACUGCUAAUUACUCAUUAACAGUGUUUGGUGCAGAAGCAUCUGCGGCGAAGACCGCGGCAGUCGCCUCCGGUGAAGCCCUCAGUUUGGCAAACAGAUGCACAGUUGCUUUCUCUCAAGCAAGUUCCCUUGAACUUGUGGCUCAAAGUCUCACAAGUUCUUGCUUCUGCAACCAUUGCAUUUGGCCCCAUUCCUACAUACAUUUUAAACACACACAUUAGUAUUCAUACAUAAAGUUCAUUUACAUCUAGAGAUCAAAACAUACAGUGAGUAAAUAUCAGAAGAAUGUAGAUAUUGAUUAUACCAG